rnacentral:rRNA from 1 species
GACGAACGCUGGCGGCGUGCUUAACACAUGCAAGUCGAACGGAAAGGCCCUGCGUUUGUGGGGUGCUCGAGUGGCGAACGGGUGAGUAACACGUGAGUAACCUGCCCUAGACUUUGGGAUAACUUCAGGAAACUGGGGCUAAUACCGGAUAGGAGCUCCUGCUGCACGGUGGGGGUUGGAAAGUUUCGGCGGUUGGGGAUGGACUCGCGGCUUAUCGGCUUGUUGGUGGGGUAGUGGCUUACCAAGGCUUUGACGGGUAGCCGGCCUGAGAGGGUGACCGGCCACAUUGGGACUGAAAUACGGCCCAGACUCCUACGGGCGGCAGCAGUGGGGAAUAUUGCACAAUGGGCGGAAGCCUGAUGCAGCAACGCCGCGUGCGGGAUGACGGCCUUCGGGUUGUAAACCGCUUUCGCCUGUGCCGAAGCGUGAGUGACGGUAAUGGGUAAAGAAGCACCGGCUAACUACGUG